CGGGGAGUAGCUCAGCCUGGUAGAGCACCUGCUUUGGGAGCAGGGGGUCGUUGGUUCGAAUCCAGUCUCCCCGACCA
rnacentral:tRNA from 1 species